rnacentral:lncRNA from 1 species
GGCCCUCGAUGACCGCACUGACCCCCCGCCCGACAUCGAUAGACCCUCAACGACACGACCUCGACUGCCUAAGCACCGCUUGUAUCCAGCAACAACUGCCAGUUUGAUGGGAGAAGAAAGGAAGAAGAACAAGGGACGGCCCUGUUCCAUGAAAACCUGGCAACUCGCCAGCCAGAAUCUUAAUAACGACAACCCCCUU